GCUUAUUGCCACAGCAGCAUCUCAUCGGUAGAAGGCGUGUCCCUUGCCCGGAUUGCUCUGUGCGCCCCUUUGUCCUGUGGUGCUGUUGGCGGUGUCGUGGUGGUGCUCGGCCAGCGACACUAAUGGCGGCUGCACCCGUCAGGCAGCGCCCUGGGCUGGGGGGAACCCGCGCCCAGCUCCCGCCCUGUUACUACGAAGGCUACCUGGAGAAGCGAGGACCCAAAGAAAAGGCACCCAGGCGUCUGUGGACAUGUCUGUGUGGCAAUGCGUUGUAUUUCUUCAAUAAUUACAAGGACACUCAUUAUGUUGAGAAGCUGGACCUCAGCGGGUUUGUGUCCCUAAAGGAUGACUGCAGCCGGGACAGAAAUUUGGAAGCAGCCAGACUCAUCCUACGCAUGAAGGACGGAGAAACCAAAAUAACAGCACCCAACCUGGAAUCAAGGGAGUUGUGGAAGGGUUUUCUCUACUCUGUCAUCGAUCUGAAUGUACCAUCAAGUCUCACAUUGCUGCCUGGCCAGCUCCAAAUGCUGAAGGAGGUUGUGGACAAAGAAAGGUCCAGGCGGAGAAGUCGCACCCCCACACGAGCACCUCCUUCGCCUCUCUCUGUCCCUUUAGUGGGAGAGAUCCCCCCGUGUUUUCGCCCAGUGUCACGAACUGAAGCCGAAGUCCUCUUAGAGAGACACCCAGAUUGUGGCAACAUGCUGCUGCGUCCCGGAAGAGAUGGGAGCUCAUUGGCUGUGACCACCCGCCAGGACCUCAACGGAUCUGUGUUCAGACAUUACAGAGUAACACAGAGGGACCAGGGUGGAUAUGUGAUUGAUGUUGAAAAUCCAAUUCCCUGUGCAACUCUUCAUGAUGUCAUUGAUGCGCUGGUGGAGAAGACAGCUGGAACUCUGCAACCUUUUCUGCUAGAAGAACCUUAUGAGGAGAAUAUCACAUACGUUUCCGCCAAUGACGAGAAUGGCGAAAGGAUCCUCCACACUGCUCCCACCAGCCCCCUGCCAAAGGCUCCCACACUGCCCCCAAAGCAAGUUGGUGCAGAUCGUUGGCCCAGCAGCCCCCCACCCCGCUCCCCUGCUCCGGACCGCCGCAUCCUGACCUCAUCAGUGCCUGCCUCGCCCACCAACCCCCUGAGACGACUCAUCCUAUCACCUUCCCCUCUCGCACAGUUGUGCGACUUGGCCACUGGGUAGCAGUAUAAUACAGUUGUGCAGACAAAUGAAGAAAAGUUUUACUCAACUAAUCUUCGUGACUCACUCUCAACGAGGAGCUCAAAAUGAAGCUGGAGAAGAGACGAGCCAGUCAAGAGUAAUGAACUCAUUAAGGGAGCGACUCCGGUGCCAAACCCGCUUCUCAUCCCAGCUACGAAUUCAUUCUGUGCCUUGUAGGUGGAACACAAAAGGCUGCACAUGGCAGCCAGCGUCUCAUCGUUGUCAUAGGUGUUUUUGUCGGACUUGUUAAGCUCAAGACUGGUGUAGACACACUUGAUACUUGAACUGCACAAAGUACUGUUUACGAACUAUCCCGGAGCACAAUUUUUUUCCUCACAAUGACAGCCUCGAGAACUCCAAAUCUGACAGGUAGGGCCUACCAACUGAGCCUGGUGCUGUUUUACAGAGCCAGCUGAUUUUUUGCUCAACUAAUGUAGCUGCUAAGGGACAUUUUCAACUAACAGCGCUGUUUAGAAAGACCAGUGCAACGACCUAAGAACUGAGGAACUUUACUGUAGUGGUGUAGCCUAUAUAUAACUUGCAACUCUGCGUUACCUUCUUCCUCUACCACUGCGUGUGCGUGUGCGCGUGCGUGUGUGUUCCUGUGACUCACCACCAAUUCAACAUGUCUGAAAAUCCCAGGUGACUCCUGCUGUGGAAAGCUGUCGGAGCAUUUAUUGAUAAAUUAAUUAAUUUGAUAUCCAAUUUAUGGUCCUUGUGAUAGUAAGCACAUUGUCCUCACAAGACAAUUCCCCGCACUACUUGGGUGCACUAAUAAAAUUCGGCGCUACUCGUGCCACUCUUGCCCUCUAGUAUACAAUUAAAGCUUACUAGUAAACUAUUGUGCUGAACUAGUAACAUCCGUUUGAGCAUUUAUUCGAUAUCCAUGAUACCCAGCUUGAGGUCUAUGUGUCAGUAUGGUAACGUCUAGCACUUUACUAGUAGUGUUUAGAUGUCAACUAGUGCAGUUUUGCCUCACUAAUAAUAUGUAGUUGUUCAACUAGUAUGCCAAAGUUGACCUACUAGUGUGCAGAAAUGUCAUACAGGCAAUAAUAGUGGGGCUUGGGGGACAACUAGUAAGACACAGUUGUUCUACUAGUGCGCUGAAUUGUCUUACUAGUGAGGGAAAAGAGCAUAUUAGUGCAUGGACCUUAAACUGGAUAUGAAGGAUAUUAAAGAAAUGAUCAAACAGCUUUCCAUAUCCUUCCGUAUUGUACAAUCCUUUACUUUGUCCCAAGAACGUCAUUAACAUGCAAGACCGCCCCCUAGUGGAAUGUUAGACUCCAACUACUGUGCUCUAAAUGAACAUGCUGUUGAACAAAGGACAAAUUUAUUAGAACUGGGCGUAACCAUUUGAUUUUAUUGCAGAAUUGCAAGUCAUAACAGGUCUGCAUGGCCUUUAAUUAAUCACUCAAAAGAAUUGGGCUGUCCUAUGCCUCUGUGAUCAACUGACUGAAAGUGUUUUCUGUUUUGUUAGAUGUCAAGGGCAUUAUUCUAUUUUGCACGGGUGCAAUUUGUCCCUGUAACCUUUUUUCUACAAGUUGUUCAAAUGUUUAUAUUGAAACUUACUGACCUACAACAGCAGAAGAGUGAGGAAAAUAUUUGAAUGAUAAUUCCAAAAGAUCAUAUGCAGCUGUUUUAUCGUAAUCCUUUAUAUUGAUUUGUUUUGGGUUUUUUCAUCCUGUUGAAAAAUUUUAAAUCCCCUUGACAACUUUGUGAUUAAAUAUUAAAUUCAA